CUCAACCACACGUCUCCUGACAGAAGUGGCACAGGUUCUCCUGUGCUGUACUGCCUUCCUCUCUGGGCUUCUCUAAAUCAGGGACAGCUAGAAGUGUAGCUUUGAACACCAGAAAUCAAACAGGAGACUCUACAUGUACAGAAUUUUAUGUGGAAAGAAUGGAAUCUGCAGGGAAGAAGAAAAUGCCAUAGAAAGAAGAGAAUAAACCAAAGUGGGAGAAAGAGAAUAAAAAAAGUAUGUGGUGAGGGGAGAUAGCCAAAAGAUUUUUUUAAAAGACUAAACACACACUAGUAAAUAUCCCAUCACAGUCCUGCUACUCAGCAAACUGAAGUGGUGGGGACAAGAGUCUUUGAGAGGGCUCUGAUCAUUUUCAGGCUAAAAGCAGAGACAUCUAAUAUGUUACUAAUUACGUGACGUUUAAAUAUUUUCAGUGGGUGGCACAAGUUGACAUCAAGUUUAUUUGCAAUGGGGAAAACUGAGCUUUACUAUAAGCAUCUCUGUGGGUGUAUUUUAUAGACUAUUUUAAAACACGAAACAUCAAAAUUUAAAAUAUUUAUGCAUAAGUGUGCUUUUCUAGAAGACAUUUAUUAUAACUGAGAUUGUCUCCUUUUGUUCUAACCACAGAUAAAUGAAAACAGACAGGAUAUUCCAACCAUGAUGGUCAAGGAGCCAUUCUCAAGACAAGAUGCCACAUUCAUUACCAGGGUCUUCAAGGGUUUAACACCUAUGGGGGCCCCAUAAGGUAAACAAAAACCACAGCGGUUACUCCACUUCCCAGCUCUUACAUCUCCAUGGCACCGAGCAUCAGCGUAUUCGUAAAAAGCCCAAUUAAUUGUCCAUGAGCAUUCCUGAUACUUCCUGCAAAUACACUAGGUCUCUAAAACAAAGUAAAUACACACUUGGUUCAGACAGGUUUCUUUUUCUUUGCAAAAUGACACCUCAGCGACAUAAAAGUUAGUCCUGAUGCACAGGAGAAGGGAGGCAAAAUAAACACAAGCCCAGCAUUUCUUUGAGGAUGGUGGAGUGGAGCGUUACUAAACACACAGAGAACCUUCCGAAGCUGAGGCCAAAACAUUCGAUUUAGCAGUUUGCUUCUGGGGUUUGAUGUGACCGGGGGGCCACUGAUGUGUAUUCUGAGCUCUCAGGUCAAAGGUCCAUAUCGUGCCUUUGAAAGGCCUCCUUCAAAGACCCUCUCAAAAACAAAUCAACAAAGCCCAUUGCCUACCCUGCAACAUGCACGCUAUCACUCGGGAGGCAUCUGCAAAAAGGGCUUUGGAAAUGUGAGCAGAGAGAACCCAGCAGUUGGAGGAUGCCUGAGAGCUCUCUUUCAAUUUUUCCUGGGCCAUAAGAAGUGUAUUUCCCACAGCUGCUGAAUCUUUGCUUCUUAUCAUGCAACAUAACUUACCCCAGUGCCUAGCGCAGUGCCAGCCACUUCACAGAUGGUCACCAAUGGUUGCAGAAUGAGUCCUUCUAGGAAAAGGUGUCAGGGCUGAGCCCAAGCCGUAUGGAAUAAAGCUCUAAGCCAUAUCGUCAUGACUGUGGCCCUGUGGCCCUUCUAGUGACGACAAUAAAGACUGAGCCCUCCUGCUGUGACUGUACAGGGCUAAGCACCUUCCCUGCUUCUUGUCUUUCUGAGACACAGACCUCUAUCAGGGAGCCCUUGGGAAGGAGACUUGAAAUAAAACAAGAUUUCUAUGGGUCCAGGAUGAAGAUGGGGAACGGGAAGGCAAGAAAUUUUGGGAAGGCUGGCUAUUUUUUUGGAGGCCACUUUUAUUGUCUUCUACUUUAUACAGGAUACUCAGUUUGAUUUACACUCCCCUGUCUCUGAAUAAGCCAAGAAGCCCCAAAAUGUUUCAUGAUAUUAAAUUAACUGCUCUAAUUUCCCCAGGAAGCUCGAAUUUCGGCAAACAAUAUGAGUGCUAAAAUGAUACCAGAGUCCAUUUAGAGAGGAAUCCUCCGACAAGCACUAAAUGCAGACUCCCCGAGAGCAGCUUUCUGACUACUGUAUUUUUAUACUCUGAGAAUAUAAACAAGGCAGAAAGGAAAGCCAGCGUGAGUGAGGACUUAAAAUAAUCUCCGCAAACGGCAGACUGGGAGAUAGCACUUUUGAAAGAAUUCCCAUUAGUAAGCAUAAUAUACUCCUAUUAUCACAGUUCAUCUCUUUCAAUUACAAUGUGAAAUUUCGUAAUUGAAGCAGGAUUAGAAAUGUUUUUGUGCUUCAGAAAUUAAAGCAGCCUAUCUAAAUCCUUUACAAAGGGUUAAAAAACUGACUACAAUUUAAAAAGCUUCUAACUAUCUCCCAACAGUAACCAAAAAAAGAAGAAAGAGAUAAAGAAAGAAGGAAAAGAAAAAGAAUUUUUUUUAAAUUCAGGAUUUCAAUGAUGCAUUUAAGUCCCCAUGAAGAAUACCUUGAAAAUAGAUAUCUUCAGAAAUAGGCUUUGGGUAUCUGGAAGAAAAGUCGAAUUCCAAACUAGGUAUCUACAUGCAAGGUCUGCACAUCAGGGGAUACCCAUCCAGUUGUUCAUUCCUCAUCCAGAUGUUCUGGGGGCCCAGCAUCUCAUCAGGUGGAUGGUUAAACUUAGCCUGAGGGCACUGUCCCUCCAGAGGCCCCAAAUCCAGCAGCAGCGUUCUGCUCUGAGCUUCUGUUCAUGUUCCUCCUCAUGCUAAAUGGGAGAAGUAGCUAAGGCUCAGCACCCUUUAGAGUUUAACAAUUUGCUAAUUUCUGAAUAAAUCUAUCCCUACCAAAUGUGCCAAAUAAGUGUGGGGACUUCUGCAUGAAAUUCACAAGGGAAGCCUUACUAGAAACCCAAAGCAAGUCAACAGUCAUGAAAUCCAACAAGGAAUUAACCCAUAAGAGUAACAUAGUACUAUUAGAUGUUCACACUGUCUUAGGUACUCAGGAUGAAGAAUAAAGUAUAAGACACGCUUUGAAAAUAUUUGGAAGAAAGUUGCCACCUCUGGUUUUCACAGCUGAAUUAUACUGAAAGGUUUAAGGGAAUUUAAACACCUAAACUAUAAUAAUUUGAAUUAGUUUUUGAUGAAAUAUAUAUAUGUUCAUCAAUGUACAUAUUUGAAGUAUUCUUUUUCUAGACGGAGGAGAAAUAGAAUAUUGUAACUGUAAAAAGAAAACCAGGGGAAUCCCUGCUUUCAUGAACCAAGGCAGAAGACAAAAUGUGAAGCAGCCUUGACAUGCUAUUUCUUUCCUCCCUAUUAUCCAAUUGUCCUUUAAGCAGAGAAUAGGAAAUCUAGAAGCGCUUUUGAAGGUUGUUUUUUUUUAUGACAGUUUAACAUUCUAAAAAAUCAUUAUUGAAGAACAAAUUAUAGAAGCAUUUGUCUGCUGCUAGCUGGGGUCUUUGAAAAAAAUAAAGCUCAAGGUUAUUUUAACUGACAAAAGGAAAAAAAUUAUCUUCAAAAGAAACGCAUAUACUUCAUAUAACUGAGUACUGGUUACACUUCCUCAGAGAAAUCAAACACUUGAUCUAAGCCACAAUCUGCUAAUGAAUUGUCACUGCUUCUCAUCAUUUGAGGGCUACUGUAAUUCUACAUUAAAACAACAUCUCAAAUGAGCAAAAGGAGGUGAAUCUAUCAUUUUGCUCAUUUUGUACACUUGCCCACCAGACCCUAGAAUACAUAUAGAUAUGUUUACUGAUUCAUGAAUUAUUUAAGUAUCCACAAAGACCCCUGUCUAUAAAACUGACAACUCUUAUGCCUAUUUUUCCUACAUAUGUAGUUACAUGUAAUAUUGUGUCCAUGUAAAUACAAAUAUAUAUAACUGGUAAAGCAAUUGUUGACCUCUGACGUUUAAUGUGGUAUAGCCAGUUACAUUUACAGAGAUAUUUAGAUAAUUGAUUGUUAGCAUUCCAAAGACUUCAACCAACCAAAUCUACUUUGUAAAGGACAAAGUCCUAGGUUAAUUAAGCUCUCUGAUCGGAAUAGCCUGCUUAGAACUUAGUUGGAAAUUGAACAAGUCUAUUUCAACAAAUGUCAUUAUGCAUACUUUGCCACAUAGCUAGCAUAACACCUUCUAUUUCAUAUAGAUCAUAAUGCCGUUCAACAUAUGCAACUUCUCAGCAGGAGAAUAACUGCAUCCACUCCAGUAGAUGCUCCUGAAAGCAAGCUCUGCAAUAAUGCAAACAGCGAUGAUGGAUUAGCCACAAAGAGGCACACCAGACCUUGGAGAAUAAAGAGGUGUUUUACA
rnacentral:lncRNA from 1 species